AUGGCAACCAUCAGCGCCACGGCCGUCUUCGUCGCCGCCAGACCGCAGCGGUCUCCAGGGCUGCCUCGGCUGAGGGUGGCCAAGGCCGCCAGGCUGAGGUGCAGCUGCUCCAAGGACCUCAAGAAGAAGGCUUCUUCGGCCCUGGCUAUGGCGGUGGUCAAGGGCGCGCCGCUGCUCGCUGAGGCGAGCGCCAUGGCGGUGGCGGCGGCCCCGGUGCUGGCCCCGGCGCUGGUGGACGAGCGGGUGUCGACCGACGGCACCGGGCUGAGCCACGACCUGCUGGGGUGGAUCCUGAUGGUUGCCUUCGGCCUCGCCUUGUCCUACACCUACUACUCCUCCAUCCUCAAAGACGACAACGACGACGACCAUCCAGCGCCGGCGGCAUCACGAUCUGAACACCACACCGCCAUCUUCUUCUUCCGCCUGCCUGAUCUGGCCGUCAAAGCUUUGCAUGAUUACCAUUGGUCUAUGAAACAUGGACGAAUAUUGAACCCUAAGCUACUGAUUACGGUAGGAAUACUUUUAUUAUUAUUUUGCGAGCAGAGUACUUUCCAUGACGGUUGUCACUAUGAAGCAAGCUGA
rnacentral:rRNA from 1 species